GGGCCUACCCACAGACCGAUUGACUAUUGAUGGAGAGGCAGGGGGGACAGUAUAUGCAAGAGUAAUUUGGAGUUGGUAUCAGCUCUAGUCAGCUUAAUCAGUGGCUGAAAUACUCCUACAUUC